AUGGACGGAAGAGAGCGUCCUUCAGUCCACUCACGGGCGGUGCUAGGAUCGAAUUAGCUGCCGACUCAUUCAUCCACUUGCCGAGCAAAGUUAUUUUGCCGAGGAGCUUAGCAGGUGAGUGAAUGAAGCGGGAGGUAAAGUCUUUGAUCUCGCACCGUCGUUGCUUGGACUGAAGGGUGCUCCCUCCUCCUCCCUA
rnacentral:pre_miRNA from 2 species